rnacentral:rRNA from 1 species
GACGAACGCUGGCGGCGUGCUUAACACAUGCAAGUCGAACGGAAAGGCCCUGCUUUUGUGGGGUGCUCGAGUGGCGAACGGGUGAGUAACACGUGAGUAACCUGCCCUUGACUUUGGGAUAACUUCAGGAAACUGGGGCUAAUACCGGAUAGGAGCUCCUGCUGCAUGGUGGGGGUUGGAAAGUUUCGGCGGUUGGGGAUGGACUCGCGGCUUAUCAGCUUGUUGGUGGGGUAGUGGCUUACCAAGGCUUUGACGGGUAGCCGGCCUGAGAGGGUGACCGGCCACAUUGGGACUGAGAUACGGCCCAGACUCCUACGGGAGGCAGCAGGGGGGAAUAUUGCACAAUGGGCGGAAGCCUGAUGCAGCAACGCCGCGUGCGGGAUGAAGGCCUUCGGGUUGGAAACCGCUUUCGCCUGUGACGAAGCGUGAGUGACGGUAAUGGGUAAAGAAGCACCGGCUAACUACGUG